rnacentral:rRNA from 1 species
GUAGCUGGUCUGAGAGGAUGACCAGCCACACUGGAACUGAGACACGGYCCAGACUCCUACGGGAGGCAGCAGUGGGGAAUAUUGGACAAUGGGGGCAACCCUGAUCCAGCAAUGCCGCGUGUGUGAAGAAGGCCUGAGGGUUGUAAAGCACUUUCAGUGGGGAGGAGGAUUGAUWGGUUAAGAGCUGAUUAAUUGGACGUUACCCACAGAAGAAGCACCGGCUAACUCCGUGCCAGCAGCCGCGGUAAUACGGAGGGUGCRAGCGUUAAUCGGAAUUACUGGGCGUAAAGGGUGCGUAGGUGGUUAAUUAAGUUAUCUGUGAAAUYCCUGGGCUUAACCUGGGACGGUCAGAUAAWACUGGUUGACUCGAGUAUGG